rnacentral:rRNA from 1 species
UACAGAGGUCCCAAGCGUUAGGCGGAAUCACUGGGCUUAAAGCGCGUGUAGGCGGAUCGUUAAGUGCCUUGUGAAAUCCCACGGCUCAACCGUGGAACUGCUUGGCAUACUGGCGGUCUUGAGUCACCUAGGGGCCUGCGGAACAAACGGUGGAGCGGUGAAAUGCGUAGAUAUCGUUUGGAACGCCAACGGUGAAAACAACAGGCUGGGGGUGUACUGACGCUGAGACGCGAAAGCCAGGGGAGCAAACGGG